AACGAACGCUGGCGGCAGGCUUAACACAUGCAAGUCGAACGCCCCGCAAGGGGAGUGGCAGACGGGUGAGUAACGCGUGGGAACAUACCCUUUCCUGCGGAAUAGCUCCGGGAAACUGGAAUUAAUACCGCAUACGCCCUACGGGGGAAAGAUUUAUCGGGGAAGGAUUGGCCCGCGUUGGAUUAGCUAGUUGGUGGGGUAACGGCCUACCAAGGCGACGAUCCAUAGCUGGUCUGAGAGGAUGAUCAGCCACAUUGGGACUGAGACACGGCCCAAACUCCUACGGGAGGCAGCAGUGGGGAAUAUUGGACAAUGGGCGCAAGCCUGAUCCAGCCAUGCCGCGUGAGUGAUGAAGGCCUUAGGGUUGUAAAGCUCUUUCACCGGAGAAGAUAAUGACGGUAUCCGGAGAAGAAGCCCCGGCUAACUUCGUGCCAGCCGCCGCGGUAACAC
rnacentral:rRNA from 1 species